rnacentral:rRNA from 1 species
AGUGAACGCUGGCGGUAGGCCUAACACAUGCAAGUCGAACGGCAGCACAGUAAGAGCUUGCUCUUACGGUUGGCGAGUGACGGACGGGUGAGGAAUACAUCGGAUUCUACUUAUACUUGGGUGAUAACGUAGAGAAACUUACGCUAAUACCCCAUAUGUCCAACGGGUGAAAGCAAGAGAUGUUGGCAUUUUGCGCGAUUGUAUUAGCUGAUGUCGGAUUAGCUAGUUGGCGGGGUAAAGUCCCACCAAGGCGACGCUCCGUAGCGGGUCUGAGAGGAUGAUCAGCCACACUGGAACUGAGACACGGUCCAGACUCCUACGGGAGGCAGCAGUAGGGAAUAUUGGACAAUGGGCGCAAGCCUGAUCCAGCAAUACCGCGUGAGUGAAGAAGGCCUUCGGAUUGUAAAGCCCUUUUGUUAGGAAAGAAAAACAGCAGGUUAAUACACCGCUGUUCUGACGGUACCCAAAGAAUAAGCACCGGCUAACUUCGUG